rnacentral:sRNA from 1 species
GCAAGUCUGUGGAAUUCAAGUUUCAAUUGCGGUACCUCAUUGUUGGUCUGUUUUUUUCCUUGAUGUUCGAUAGGCUGGGCAUUUGCCCGUCUUCACCCGGCUAUUUUUAGCCGGAUUAACUUGAUAUUGAGGUGAACAAAUGGCAACAGGUACUGUGAAAUGGUUUAACGAUGCAAAAGGUUUUGGCUUUAUUACCCCGGAUGAUGGCAGCGAAGAUUUGUUCGCGCAUUUCUCUGCGAUUCAGGCAGGGGGUUUCAAAUCCUUGCAAGAAAACCAGCGUGUCAGUUUUGAAGUGACUGCCGGCCCUAAAGGCAAACAGGCUUCAAACAUUCAAGCUGCGUAAACCUGCAGUAGUUUAAGGAAAAGCCCCGGCAUGCCGGGGCUUUUUUA